rnacentral:misc_RNA from 1 species
GAUGAAGAACGUAGUAAAAUGCGAUAAGUAAUGUGAAUUGCAGAAUUCAGUGAAUCAUCGAAUCUUUGAACGCACAUUGCGCCCGCCAGUAUUCUGGCGGGCAUGCCUGUUCGAGCGUCAUUUCAACCCUCAAGCACAGCUUGGUGUUGGGACUCGCGUUAAUUCGCGUUCCUCAAAUUGAUUGGCGGUCACGUCGAGCUUCCAUAGCGUAGUAGUAAAACCCUCGUUACUGGUAAUCGUCGCGGCCACGCCGUUAAACCCCAACUUCUGAAUGUUGACCUCGGAUCAGGUAGGAAUACCCGCUGAACUUAAGCAUAUCAAUAAGCGGAGGA